GCUGUCAGACACCGCCCGCUCGGGGCAGGGGUUCCGGGAUGCUUCGCUCGCAGCUGUUUUCUCUCCUGUGCCAUUCCAGCCCAGCCCAGCCGGCGGCACCGGGCACUUCGUGUAAGGAGGCACAAAAGGGGUCCAAACGCGUUGUGUUCAGAGGGACACCAUAUUUUAAGGUGCACACUCCAAUUGCUAUCAAUCCAUUACCGUCCCUGUGACGUUGAAUGCUGAAUUUGUCACCUGCUGUCCGACACUCGGCAUGAGUCAGGGAGACAAAAUGGGGAGGUUUGGAAGCAAAUCCAUUUUGGUCAUGACGUUAAUCUGUGGAAUCUCCAAAGAUAUCAUCGCACUGAGAGCUGCCAGGAUUCCAGAAAUAAACUUAAAGAGGAUGAAAAAUGAUGUAUUAAAGUACAGAAAAACACAACACAAUCACACAGGACACUCAACCACAGGCCAAAUCUGGUAAUGAAUAUAUGGAACAUG